rnacentral:rRNA from 1 species
GGAAUCACUGGGUUUAAAGGGUGCGCAGCCGGAAUAGUAAGUCAGAGGUGAAAGCCCACAGCUCAACUGUGGAAUUGCCUUUGAUACUGUUAUUCUUGAGUGUAGUUGAAGUAGNCGGAAUAUAGCAUGUAGCGGUGAAAUGCAUAGAUAUGCUAUAGAACACCAAUUGCGAAGGCAGCUUGCUAAACUAUAACUGACGCUGAGGCACGAAAGCGUGGGGAGCGAACAGGAUUAGAUACCCUGGUAGUCCACGCCGUAAACUAUGAACACUCGCUGUUGGCAAUACACAGUCAGCGGCUGAGCGAAAGCGUUAAGUGUUCCACCUGGGAAGUACGAUCGCAAGGUUGAAACUCAAAGGAAUUGACGGGGGCCCGCACAAGCGGAGGAGCAUGUGGUUUAAUUCGAUGAUACGCGAGGAACCUUACCUGGGCUUAAAUGUAUAUUGACGUACUGAGAAAUCAGUAUUUCUUCGGACAAUUUACAAGGUGCUGCAUGGUUGUCGUCAGCUCGUGCCGUGAGGUGUCGGGUUAAGUCCCAUAACGAGCGCAACCCCUACUUCUAGUUACCAGCAUUUCGGAUGGGGACUCUAGAGGAACUGCCUACGCAAGUAGAGAGGAAGGUGGGGAUGACGUCAAAUCAGCACGGCCCUUAUGUCCAGGGCUACACACGUGCUACAAUGGCCGGUACAGAGGGCAGCUACAUAGCAAUAUGAUGCUAAUCUCAAAAGCCGGUCUCGGUCCGGAUUGGAGUCUGCAACUCGACUCCAUGAAGCUGGAUUCGCUAGUAAUCGCACAUCAGCAAUGGUGCGGUGAAUACGUUCNCCGGGCACUUGUACACACCGCCCGUCAAGCCAUGGAAGUUGGGGGUACCUGAAGUCGAUUGCCGUAAGGCGUUGCCUAGGGUAAACCAAUGANUGGGGCUAAGUCGU